rnacentral:rRNA from 1 species
UACGUAGAGUGCAAGCGUUGCCCGGAUUUAUUGGGCGUAAAGAGCUCGUAGGCGGUUUGUCGCGUCUGCUGUGAAAACGCGAGGCUCAACCUCGCGCCUGCAGUGGGUACGGGCAGACUAGAGUGCGGUAGGGGAGAUUGGAAUUCCUGGUGUAGCGGUGGAAUGCGCAGAUAUCAGGAGGAACACCGAUGGCGAAGGCAGAUCUCUGGGCCGUAACUGACGCUGAGGAGCGAAAGCGUGGGGAGCGAACAGG